GGAUCUGGAUGUGGAUCAACUUGCAAAGGGAUCCUGUAGACAGGCAUGACAGAAAGUGGACAAGAGGACCACCCUGACCCCAGAGACAUGAGGGCCUGUGGUUCACCUUGGAGUAUCAGAAAAUAUGUGACCAUUGGCAGCUGGUUUGUGCAGAAUCCCUGGUUACGCUGAGCCUCGAGGACUGUGACUGUCUUAUGUACCUGUUGCCCGUGGGGCCUGGAAAAGGAAAAAAAUCAUGGGGGUGUUAGAAUAGAAGCAAGACAAUGCAUGCCACAUGCCACACGCUACAUGCCACAUGCCACACGCCACAUGUCACAGCUCCAUUGUUUUUGAAGCUAUUGUUUUCCUUUCUUAGCUUUGAGCCUGUCUAAUGUAUUAAACUUUUUUUUUUUCUCCCACAUGCAAGCCAUCAAGUUUCCUGUCCUCAGUGAGCUUGGAGUUAGUAAACCAAUUCUGAAGGAGAGGUGUUUCUGCUGGUGUGAAUUUCUGAGACUCAGGACAACCAUCCACUAUUUUCUAACUCUGGGAAUUCUGUGAAAACCACAAGCUAGAGACUUCCCUCCCAUGAUCCUCAGGGACCUUGACUCUCCGGGGAGGUUCACAAGAUUCCCGGGACUUGCUCUUCAAGAGAAAAUGGGCAUGAAGCAGCUGAAGCCCAGGGGCCUUAUGGAGACUGUCCGUUCUGAAAGCGAAGUGUGAGUCCUC
rnacentral:lncRNA from 1 species